AGUUGUAAAGCAAACAGUGUAGGUAUUGGAAGCCGUUCACACCUCCUUUCCGAGUAUCUGCCUGCCUUGCUGGCCCAGAGCACAAGACCCCCAUUGUGCUCCCCCGGCUCAGAAUCCAAGGAAAGAAAGGAAGCGAAGCCUCUGCAUUGAGUUCUAGGACAGCUGAGACACUUGGAUUGGACUUAAUCUUAAACCUCUGGAGUUCAAGACCUUUUAAAAAGGGCUAAAUAAACAAUCUCUACAUGUAAAAGGCCACUGACUCCUGCUUCCUCUGUAUAGAGCAACUGUUGAACUCAGCUGCCUGUAAGGCGUGAUUCUCAGUCACCAGACUCAGCUUGGAGAUCUUACAAUGAUGGCAGUCAAGAGGCACUGAACGAAGAUGCUCCAUAUUCCUCUCUGGCAGCAAAAGGUUUUAGAAGCGUCCGACCAAACCUACAAGAGAAGAGAUCAGCAACUCAGGCACCCCCUCCACCAGAAAGAAAAGAGAGCUUUCAUAGCUCUUUGAUAACCAGGCACACAAAGGGUGUCAUUUUAGACCAG
rnacentral:sRNA from 1 species